AAAGGGGGGAAAAAACUGCAGGAGCUAUUUUUAAUUCCCAUCAUGUGCAUCUCAAGGCUGUGAUGUGCAUUAAGGUUAUUCAUAAUUGUUUGAACUUAAAUUAGGUCCUAUUGGAGCGCACAACUAAGCAAUAUGGUUGUAUCUAUUGUUUCACUUAUUAUAUUUGGCAAAGACAGUAAUCAAAUUCUUUUUACCUAUCUCGUUAAUGUGAUCAGAAAUAGAAAAAUAUGGAUGAAAUUAAAAAAGACGUAUUACUACAUUCUCUUAUUCUAUAAGAGAGAGUUAAGCACCUCUCCGUCAACAUGCCUGCCUGUGCUAUGUGGGUAUCUUGAUCAUUUUACAUUACAUUCUCUUAAUCUAUAACAGAGAGUUAUCUCUAGCCUUUCUUGUGGAUUUCAAAUGACGAAAAAAAUCAGAAAUAUUCAGCUCCCAAGUACGCAGCAUUUUGGAAUUCCGUUUUAUUCCUAAAGAUCAGGUUUCCCAAAUUACUUCUACUAUGUCUGCUGACUCACACUCCUGAAAGAACGCCAUCUGCUGUUUUUGCUUUUGGGUGGACGGUGGGCAAUAUCAGAUAUUACUUUUCUUCCCCUACAAUUUUUAAUCAGUUUACACUCUGUUUAUUGUUUAGUUUCGCUUUGUUCUUCGGCUUUGUUGCUGCUACUCUUUUGAUCACUUCCAGGUUUCUGGAAUUAACGUCUGAUUACUAUGUCUAACUACUCCGGCUUUGCGAGGAUCUAAUGGAUACUAAGAUGCUCUUUGGUGGAAAAGUAGUUAUUUUUGGAGAAAAACUACAACUGUCAGAGAAUAUGCGUGCAAGAA